rnacentral:rRNA from 1 species
UGAGGCUCCGUAAUUGGAAUGAGUACACUUUAAACCCNUNCACANGGAUCUAUUGGAGGGCAAGUCUGGUGCCAGCAGCCGCGGUAAUUCCAGCUCCAAUAGCGUAUACUAAAGUUGUUGCGAUUAAAAAGCUCGUAGUUGGAUCUCAGGCAUGGGCGCGCGGUCCGCCUCGCGGCGGUCACUGCGUGUAUUCUUUCCCAUCCUACGCUUCCCGGUUGUUCAGCCCAUGGUGCUCUUCAUUGAGCGUUUUGGGUGGCCGGAACGUUUACUUUGAAGAAAUUAGAGUGUUCAAAGCAGGCAAGUCGCCUGAAUAAUGGUGCAUGGAAUAAUGGAAUAGGACCUCGGUUCUAUUUUGCUGGUUUACGGAAGACGAGGUAAUGAUUAAGAGGGACAGACGGGGGCAUCCGUAUUGCGGUGUUAGAGGUGAAAUUCUUGGAUCAUCGCAAGACGAACAACUGCGAAAGCAUUUGCCAAGCAUGUUUUCAUUAGUCAAGAACGAAAGUCAGAGGUUCGAAGACGAUCAGAUACCGUCGUAGUUCUGACCAUAAACGAUGCCAACUAGCGAUUCGCUGGUGUUGCUUCAUCGACUCUGCGGGCAGCUUCCGGGAAACCAAAGUUUUCGGGUUCCGGGGGAAGUAUGGUUGCAAAGCUGAAACUUAAAGGAAUUGACGGAAGGGCACCASCMAGGAGUGGAGCCUGCGGCUUAAUUUGACUCAACACGGGAAAACUCACCCGGUCACCUGUAAGGAUUGACAGA